rnacentral:tRNA from 1 species
UGCCCGGUCGCCAAGCGGAAAGGCACGGGACUUUGAAUCCCGCAUUCGUAGGUUCGAAUCCUACCCGGGCAGCCA